UACGGGGGGAGCAAGCGUUGUUCGGAUUUACUGGGCGUAACGGGCGCGUAGGCGGUCGUGACAAGUCACUUGUGAAAUCUCCGGGCUUAACUCGGAACGGUCAAGUGAUACUGUCGGACUAGAGUACAGAAGGGGCAACUGGAAUUCUCGGUGUAGCGGUGAAAUGCGUAGAUAUCGAGAGGAACACCUGCGGCGAAGGCGGGUUGCUGGGCUGAUACUGACGCUGAGGCGCGAAAGCCAGGGGAGCGAACGGG
rnacentral:rRNA from 1 species